rnacentral:rRNA from 1 species
UACGUAGGGCGCAAGCGUUAUCCGGAAUUAUUGGGCGUAAAGAGCUCGUAGGCGGCUUGUCGCGUCGUCCGUGAAAACUUGGGGCUCAACCCCAAGCUUGCGGUCGAUACGGGCAGGCUAGAGUUCGGUAGGGGAGACUGGAAUUCCUGGUGUAGCGGUGAAAUGCGCAGAUAUCAGGAGGAACACCGGUGGCGAAGGCGGGUCUCUGGGCAGAUACUGACGCUGAGGAACGAAAGCGUGGGGAGCAAACAGG